rnacentral:rRNA from 1 species
CAAGUCGAGCGGACAGAAGGGAGCUUGCUCCCGGACGUUAGCGGCGGACGGGUGAGUAACACGUAGGUAACCUGCCCCUUAGACUGGGAUAACUCCGGGAAACCGGAGCUAAUACGGGAUAAUAAAGAGAAUCACCUGAUUCUCUUUUGAAAGACGGUUUCGGCUGUCACUAAGGGAUGGGCCUGCGGCGCAUUAGCUAGUUGGUAAGGUAACGGCUUACCAAGGCGACGAUGCGUAGCCGACCUGAGAGGGUGAUCGGCCACACUGGGACUGAGACACGGCCCAGACUCCUACGGGAGGCAGCAGUAGGGAAUCUUCCGCAAUGGACGAAAGUCUGACGGAGCAACGCCGCGUGAGUGAGGAAGGCCUUCGGGUCGUAAAGCUCUGUUGUGAGGGAAGAACAAGUACCGGAGUAACUACCGGUACCUUGACGGUACCUCACCAGAAAGCCACGGCUAACUACGUGCCAGCAGCCGCGGUAAUACGUAGGUGGCAAGCGUUGUCCGGAAUUAUUGGGCGUAAAGCGCGCGCAGGCGGCUUCUUAAGUCUGAUGUGAAAUCUCGGGGCUCAACCCCGAGCGGCCAUUGGAAACUGGGAAGCUUGAGUGCAGAAGAGGAGAGUGGAAUUCCACGUGUAGCGGUGAAAUGCGUAGAUAUGUGGAGGAACACCAGUGGCGAAGGCGACUCUCUGGUCUGUAACUGACGCUGAAGCGCGAAAGCGUGGGGAGCAACAGGAUUAGAUACCCUGGUAGUCCACGCCGUAAACGAUGAGUGCUAGGUGUUAGGGGUUUCGAUGCCCGUAGUGCCGAAGUAACACAUUAAGCACUCCGCCUGGGGAGUACGGCCGCAAGGCUGAAACUCAAAGGAAUUGACGGGGACCGCACAGCAGUGGAGCAUGUGGUUUAAUUCGAAGCAACGCGAAGAACCUUACAGGUCUUGACAUCUUUGACCACUCUGGAGACGAGCUUCCCUUCGGGGCAAGUGACAGGUGGUGCAUGGUGUCGUCAGCUCGUGUCGUGAGAUGUUGGGUUAAGUCCCGCAACGACGCAACCCUUGAUCUUAGUUGCCACCAUUAGUUGGGCAUCUAAGGUGACUGCCGGUGACAAACCGGAGGAAGGUGGGGACGACGUCAAUCAUCAUGCCCCUUAUGAACUGGGCUACACACGUGCUCAAUGGAUGGUACAAAGGGCGGCGAAACC